rnacentral:rRNA from 1 species
UACGUAGGGGGCAAGCGUUGUCCGGAUUUAUUGGGCGUAAAGCGCGUGUAGGCGGUCCGGUAAGUCCGCUGUGAAAGUCGGGGGCUCAACCCCCGGAUGCCGGUGGAUACUGUCGGGCUUGAGUACGGAAGAGGCGAGUGGAAUUCCUGGUGUAGCGGUGAAAUGCGCAGAUAUCAGGAGGAACACCAAUUGCGAAGGCAGCUCGCUGGGACGUUACUGACGCUGAGACGCGAAAGCGUGGGGAGCAAACAGG